UGCCAGUAGUCAUAUGCUUGUCUUAAAGAUUAAGCCAUGCAUGUCUCAGUGCAAGCUAAAUUAAAGUGAAACCGCGGAAGGCUCAUUAUAUCAGCUAUGGUUCCUUAGAUGGUACCAAAGUAUACUUGGAUAACUGUGGCAAUUCUAGAGCUAAUACAUGCAAAUAGAGUCCCUGCCUCCCAAGGCAGGGAUGCUUUUAUUAGAUCAAAACCAACCGGCCUUCGGGCUAGUUGCUCUUGGUGACUCUGACUAACUUUGGGCUGAUCGCACGGUCACGUACCGGCGACGCAUCUUUCAAAUGUCUGCCUUAUCAACUAUCGAUGGUAGGCUCUACGCCUACCAUGGUUGUAACGGGUGACGGGGAAUCAGGGUUCGAUUCCGGAGAGGGAGCCUGAGAGACAGCUACCACAUCCAAGGAAGGCAGCAGGCGCGCAAAUUACCCACUCCCGGCACGGGGAGGUAGUGACGAUAAAUAACGAUGCAGAACUCUUUCCGAGGCUCUGCAAUCGGAAUGAGCACACUCUAAAUCAUUUAACGAGUAUCCAUCGGAGGGCAAGCCUGGUGCCAGCAGCUGCGGUAAUUCCAGCUCCGAUAGCGUAUAUUAAAGUUGUUGCGGUUAAAAAGCUCGUAGUUGGAUCUGUGUUUCACUCUGUCGGUUCGUUGCCCGUCAACGUUUAACUGGCAUGCAAGUGGAACGUCCUGCCGGUUGGCAACGCGCGUCCGCAAGGGCGUGCGUGCGCCAGUUGGAUCCUGUCUAGGUCCUCUUCACCGAGAGUCGAGGCAGGCCGGCACGUUUACUUUGAACAAAUUUGAGUGCUUAAAGCAGGCUGUUACGCCUGAAGACUGGUUGCAUGGAAUAAUGGAAUAGGACCUCGGUUCUACUUUGUUGGUUUUCGGAGCCCGAGGUAAUGAUUAAUAGGGACAGGCGGGGGCAUUAGUAUUGCGACGUUAGAGGUGAAAUUCUAAGAUCGUCGCAGGACUAACCUAAGCGAAAGCAUUUGCCAAGGAUGCUUCCUUUAAUCAAGAACGAAAGUUAGAUGAUCGAAGGCGAUCAGAUACCGCCCUAGUUCUAACCAUAAACGAUGCCAGCCAGCAAUCCGUCGCUGUUCCUCCGAUGACUCGACGGGCAGCUUCCGGGAAACUUAAGCUUUUAGGUUCCGGGGGAAGUAUGGUUGCAAAGCUGAAACUUAAAGGAAUUGACGGAAGGGCACCACCAGGAGUGGAGCCUGCGGCUUAAUUUGACUCAACACGGG
rnacentral:rRNA from 1 species